GCUAGGCGUGGUGGCUCGCACCUGUAAUCCCAGCUACUCAGGAGGCUGAGGCCAGAGGAUCACUUGAGCCCAGGAGUUCGAGGCUGCAGUGAGCUAUGAUCACGCCACUGCACUCCAGCCUGGGCGACAGAGUGAGACUCUACCUCUC
ensembl:misc_RNA Metazoa_SRP Metazoan signal recognition particle RNA